rnacentral:rRNA from 1 species
AACAGGUAGCUUGCUAUGCUGACGACCGGCGAACGGGUGCGUAACGCGUAUAGAAUCUGCCUUGUACAGGAGGAUAGCCUUUAGAAAUGAAGAUUAACACUCCAUAAUGUAGGGUUUCGGCAUCGAGACUUUAUUAAACAUUUAUGGGUACAAGAUGACUAUGCGUCCUAUUAGCUAGAUGGUAAGGUAACGGCUUACCAUGGCGACGAUAGGUAGGGGGUCUGAGAGGAUUAUCCCCCACACUGGUACUGAGACACGGACCAGACUCCUACGGGAGGCAGCAGUGAGGAAUAUUGGUCAAUGGAGGCAACUCUGAACCAGCUAUGCCGCGUGCAGGAUGACUGCCCUAUGGGUUGUAAACUGCUUUUAUACAGGAAGAAACCGUGGUACGUGUACCACCUUGACGGUACUGUAAGAAUAAGGACCGGCUAACUCCGUGCCAGCAGCCGCGGUAAUACGGAGGGUCCAAGCGUUAUCCGGAAUCAUUGGGUUUAAAGGGUCCGCAGGCGGUCAAUUAAGUCAGAGGUGAAAUCCCAUCGCUCAACGAUGGAACUGCCUUUGAUACUGGUUGACUUGAGUUAUACGGAAGUAGAUAGAAUAAGUAGUGUAGCGGUGAAAUGCAUAGAUAUUACUUAGAAUACCGAUUGCGAAGGCAGUCUACUACGUAUAUACUGACGCUCAUGGACGAAAGCGUGGGGAGCGAACAGGAUUAGAUACCCUGG